GGAAUCUAGGGAUGGAAAUGAAAGGGCCAUCACUUACAAUUAUCUCUAGCAACUUACCAGCAAAAUGUUUCCUUUCUUUUCCCAAAGACUUAUGUUCUGUUGUCCUAAAAGUCUUUGUUCCAAAGGAAGGAAUGGUUCCACCAGGAGACACAACAAUGAUUAUACAGAACUGCAAGUUAAGACUGCCACCUGAUGCCUCUGAAUCUACGGGCAAGCAAGGAAGUUACUGUGCUGGCUGGGUUGAUUGAUCCAAACUACAAGGGGAAAUUGGACAGCUGCUCCACAAUAGAGUCAUCCUCAGUGAGUGCCUUAUCAAGCUUAUUACUUCAUGGUGACAAGACGGCUGCACUUGAUCCAACAUCACUUUUGGAUUCCAGUAAGCAAGAAGAAGAAGACAAAUGAGAAAAAGAUAUAAGCCAGCUGAACUCCUAUCAACGUUCAGAUGCUCUUCCCCUGGAGUUUGGCCAUCCCACAGCCGAACUCCUCUCCAACCAUCCCCGG